rnacentral:lncRNA from 14 species
CCGACGCGGCUGGAGAGGCGCUGCCGCCGCCGCGCCGCCCCCGGGGGACGGGCCGGGGCCGGGCCGGGGUCCGUCCGGAGCCGCCGCCGCGCCGCCCCGGGGCUGCGGCUCUGCCCGCGCCGCCGCCGCGCCAUGGGCAGCCCCGCAGCGGCAGCCGAGCGACAAAACCCCCGGAGGUAACCUGAGACAGAGAUUGCUACGUGACCUGGGAGCUGCCAAAAACAAAUGCCAAGACCGUCAGCUCAUUCCCAGGGCUGGGAACGAGGGACUCACCUGACAAGCCAAGCUCAGGUGGUCUGUGAGUGAGCUUAAAUUCCACAUUCCUCAUGCUCAAGCAGGAUGGGAGUGAAAAAACCUCUCAGGGAGGGCAGGAGAGGCUGCUCAGGGCCAGGAGCUGAGCACGUUUGGCCUGACUGCAUUUUGCUCUCUGCAGUAAAUAUGUGGCUGUGUCCCACC